rnacentral:rRNA from 1 species
UGCGCAGGCGGACCGGCAAGCGUCUUGUGAAAGCCCCCGGCUCAACCGGGGAACUGCAGGGCGAACUGCCGGUCUUGAGGCAGGUAGGGGCCGACAGAACCAUCGGUGGAGCGGUGAAAUGCGUAGAUAUCGAUGGGAAUGCCAGUGGCGAAGGCGGUCGGCUGGGCCUGUCCUGACGCUCAUGCACGAAAGCGUGGGGAGCGAACG